GUUACAAAACAUUACUUAGCACCUUAGACACUAUAAAAGAUUUAAACUGUCAAUAUUUUUUUAUACCAUCUAUAUACAGAGGAUGAUCCAUAAGGAUGUCUGACAAUGGUGUUCUCACAUCUGCAGCUGCGCGCUGACUGGUUUCCCAGAAUGUCCAUCAUGUAGCAGCAUCCUGUUUGAACUAUAUAGUGAAAGGUUUUGCUUCUAAAAUAAUGAACUGACACUGGAGGGAUUCAUGUGGAUUUGCUGUGAUCAAAAGACUGGAUUGGAGACCCUCGGUGUGCUGAGUUCAAGGAGGAAAUGCCUACCCUGGAAUUAGGUGGUAACCAAUGAGAGGAAAUUGUUCAAAACUUGGAGAAGAAGAGCUUGAGAGUUGAAGUCCCAGGAUCUGGUGUGGAAACCCACUCUCUAACUACACAAGGCCUGAUAAGGUUAACAACUCCAACCGUGGUGGCUUUGGGCCUUGGAUUGCAGGCCAGCACUGUGUCUUCAGCCACUAGUCUUCUUUGGAGGAAAAAUAAAUCUUGUGUACUCCA